GCAUAUCAAAGUACCCCAAGAAUUCAAUUUUUGUUAAAAUCAAACUAAGUUUAAUUUUGGACCCUUUGGACCUUAAUGUAGACCAAUUUAAAUAAAAUGCUCCGCAGGGCGCAGCUUGAUACGACCGCAGAGGUCGAACCCUGAACAGUUGGGGGAAGUAUGGACACAACAUUCAAGCUUGAUACAGCUUUGGAUUUGGAUUGUGAUUAAAUAUUUGACACAGCAUAGGUUUCUAACACAGAUUGAAUGUGGUCUAAGAACUUAAAAAUUUUAAAUUGGACAUUCACCUAUUAUGGUCCAAUAUUCAAAAUCUAAAUACAUGGUUAGAUUCAGCAUAUCAAAGAACCCCAAGAAUUCAAUUUUUGAUGAAAUCAAACAAAGUUUAAUUUUGGACCCUUUUGACCUCAAUGUGGACAAAGUUGAUAACGGGGCCCAAAAAUCAAAAAUCUAAAUACAUGGUUAGAUUCAGCAUAUCAAAGAACCCCAUAUAUUCAAUUUUUGUUGAAAUCAAACAAAGUUUAAUUUUGGACCCCGAUUUGGACCAACUUGAAAACUGGGCCCAUAAUCAAAAAUCUAAAUACAUGUUUAGAUUCAGCAUAUCAAAGAACCCUAAGAAUUCAAUUUUUGUUAAAAUCAAACUAAGUUUAAUUUUGGACCCUUUGGACCUUAACGAGACCAAUUUGAAAACGGAACCAAAAAUUAAGAAUCUAAAUACACGGUUAGAUUCGGCAUAUCAAAGAACCCCAAUAAUUCAAUUUUUGAUGAAAUCAAACAAAGUUUAAUUUUGGACCCUUUUGACCUCAAUGUGGACAAAGUUGAUAACGGGGCCCAAAAAUCAAAAAUCUAAAUACAUGGUUAGAUUCAGCAUAUCAAAGAACCCAAUAAUUCAAUUUUUGAUGAAAUCAAACAAAGUUUAAUUUUGGACCCUUUGGACCUCAAUGUGGACCAAUUUAAAAACGGGGCCCAAAAUCCAAAAACAUGGUUAGAUUCAGCAUAUUAAAGAACCCCAUGAAAUCAAGAAUAAAACCCCAUUGAAAUUGGUCAAGAAAUAAGCAAUUUAUAGGAAGUAUCUUCUUUUGCACAAUCCUGUGCUAUUAAAUAUUUCUUGCUAUUGCGCAAUACUGUACAAUUGACAAUUUCUUGCUAUUGCGCAAUAUUGUGCUAUUGGAUAUUUCUUGCUAUUGCGCAAUACUGUGCAAUUGAAGAUUUCUUGCUAUUGUGCAAUACUGUGCAAUUGAAAAUUUCUUGCUAUUGCACAAUACUUAUUAUAUAAUAAUUUACACAUCCUGUUUGGUGUGUAUCUCCUACCAUAUCAUUAUUAUUUGAUUUUAAAUAUAAAUCAGAAAUAACCAACUUAAAAUGGAAAAUUUUAAAAGAAACAAAAAAGGAAAAAAAGAAAAAAAAGGAAAAAAAAAUAAAU